UGGGAGUGGGGAACCGAUUUCAUCGUUGUGGACUGUGGUCCGGUUCCCCACCCGCCCCCCUCCCUUCCCGCGCACCAGUGUUUCGGCUUCGACGU
rnacentral:sRNA from 13 species